rnacentral:snRNA from 1 species
GGAUGCAAGGACAAUCUAGCUGCAACAUAUGUCACCCUAUAGGUCACUGGAGUAAAGAUGAUCUGGCAGUCUAGGCAAGUGCCUAUACCACCCUCGCCUCUCCUGAAGCUGCAUUCUCAUUCCAAGAGGGCAACUUUCCUUGGCAGAAAAAGAUCAUUCUUUGGUCAAAGGUACACCCUCA